AUGUUUCCAAAUCAUCCAUGGCACGAGCAGAGUGGCGGAGGCGAGGCCUUUGUGCAUCGGCUUGGGCGUGUUCCGUUUAGCCAAGCGCCACCAGUCGUGAAGCGAGGCGUCGUUGUUGGGUGGCGGACAAGGGAGGCGCAGCCACGAGAGGAUCUCAUGCCACACCUGGCGAGCGAAGGGGCAUCCCAGGAGAAGGUGGUGCAGUGUCUCUGGGGCCUGAUCGCAGAGCGGACAGCAGGGUGGGCGAGGCAGGUUACGGCGCGGGAGGUGGUCGGCAGUCCAGCAGCGGUCGAGGUUCGCAAGCCAGUGGAAGAAGCGCACCCGUGGUGGUGCCCAACACUUCCAAGUAAGCCUCCAGGCCUGGCAGGUUACGAUGCUGCUCGUUUUAUAUCAUUAUCAGUUUCAGAUACCUAA
rnacentral:rRNA from 1 species